GACGAACGCUGGCGGCGUGCUUAACACAUGCAAGUCGAACGGAAAGGCCCUGCUUUUGUGGGGUGCUCGAGUGGCGAACGGGUGAGUAACACGUGAGUAACCUGCCCUUGACUUUGGGAUAACUUCAGGAAACUGGGGCUAAUACCGGAUAGGAGCUCCUGCUGCAUGGUGGGGGUUGGAAAGUUUCGGCGGUUGGGGAUGGACUCGCGGCUUAUCAGCUUGUUGGUGGGGUAGUGGCUUACCAAGGCUUUGACGGGUAGCCGGCCUGAGAGGGUGACCGGCCACAUUGGGACUGAGAUACGGCCCAGACUCCUACGGGAGGCAGCAGUGGGGAAUAUUGCACAAUGGGCGGGAGCCUGAUGCAGCAACGCCGCGUGCGGGAUGACGGCCUUCGGGUUGUAAACCGCUUUCGCCUGUGACGAAGCGUAAGUGACGGUAAUGGGUAAAGAAGCACCGGCUAACUACGUG
rnacentral:rRNA from 1 species